UACGUAGGGUGCGAGCGUUGCCCGGAUUUAUUGGGCGUAAAGGGCGCGUAGGCGGCUCGGCACGUCCGUUGUGAAAUCGCCCGGCUCAACUGGGCGGGGUCAGCGGAUACGGCCGAGCUUGAGCAAGCUAGGGGGCAAUGGAAUUCCCGGUGUAGUGGUGGAAUGCGUAGAUAUCGGGAGGAACACCAGUGGCGAAGGCGGUUGCCUGGAGCUUGCUGACGCUGAUGCGCGAAAGCGUGGGGAGC
rnacentral:rRNA from 1 species